rnacentral:pre_miRNA from 1 species
AAUCUCAUGGAAACAUUUCUGCACAAACUAGAUUAUGGAUACCAAUGUGCCAAAAUGCUUUGCUACGUU